UAAGACGAACCGUGCGAACGUUGUUCGGAAUCACUGGGCUUAAAGGGCGCGUAGGCGGCAUGACAAGUCUGGGGUGAAAUCCUCCGGCUCAACCGGAGAAUUGCCUGGGAAACUAGCAUGCUCGAGGGAGGUAGAGGUGGCCGGAACUUCCAGUGGAGCGGUGAAAUGCGUUGAUAUUGGAAGGAACGCCGGAGCCGAAAGGGGGCCACUGGACCUCUUCUGACGCUGAUGCGCGAAAGCUAGGGGAGCGAACGGGAUUAGAUACCCCGGUAGUCCUAGCCCUAAACGAUGAGUACUAGAUGGUGGACCUGACACGGGUUCACCGUCGAAGCAAAAGUGGUAAGUACUCCGCCUGGGGAGUAUGGUCGCAAGGCUG
rnacentral:rRNA from 1 species